rnacentral:rRNA from 1 species
AAACUAACAAGGAUUCCCCUAGUAACUGCGAGUGAAGCGGGAAAAGCUCAAAUUUAAAAUCUGGCGGUCUAUGGCCGUCCGAGUUGUAAUCUGGAGAAGCGUUUUCCGUGCCGGACCGUGUACAAGUCUCUUGGAACAGAGCGUCAUAGAGGGUGAGAAUCCCGUCCAUGACACGGACUCCCGGUGCUUUGUGAUACGCUCUCGAAGAGUCGAGUUGUUUGGGAAUGCAGCUCAAAAUGGGUGGUAAAUUCCAUCUAAAGCUAAAUAUUGGCGAGAGACCGAUAGCGAACAAGUACCGUGAGGGAAAGAUGAAAAGCACUUUGGAAAGAGAGUUAAACAGUACGUGAAAUUGUUGAAAGGGAAACGCUUGAAGUCAGUCGCGUCGUCCGGGACUCAGCCUAGCUUCUUUGCUCGGUGUACUUCCCGUUCGACGGGUCAACGUCGAUUUUGACCGGCGGAUAAUGGCUUGGGGAACGUGGCACCUUCGGGUGUGUUAUAGCCCCUGGUCGCAUACGUCGGUUGGGAUCGAGGACCGCAGCGCGCCUUUUAGGCCGGGGGUUCGCCCCACGUAACGCGCUUAGGAU